rnacentral:rRNA from 1 species
UACGUAGGGCGCAAGCGUUAUCCGGAAUUAUUGGGCGUAAAGAGCUCGUAGGCGGUUUGUCGCGUCUGCCGUGAAAGUCCGGGGCUCAACUCCGGAUCUGCGGUGGGUACGGGCAGACUAGAGUGAUGUAGGGGAGACUGGAAUCCCUGGUGUAGCGGUGAAAUGCGCAGAUAUCAGGAGGAACACCAGUGGCGAAGGCGGGUCUCUGGGCCGUAACUGACGCUGAGGAGCGAAAGCGUGGGGAGCGAACAGG